GACGAACGCUGGCGGCGUGCUUAACACAUGCAAGUCGAACGGAAAGGCCCUGCUUUUGUGGGGUGCUCGAGUGGCGAACGGGUGAGUAACACGUGAGUAACCUGCCCUUGACUUUGGGAUAACUUCAGGAAACUGGGGCUAAUACCGGAUAGGAGCUCCUGCUGCAUGGUGGGGGUUGGAAAGUUUCGGCGGUUGGGGAUGGACUCGCGGCUUAUCAGCUUGUUGGUGGGGUAGUGGCUUACCAAGGCUUUGACGGGUAGCCGGCCUGAGAGGGUGACCGGCCACAUUGGGCCUGAGAUACGGACCAGACUCCUACGGGAGGCAGCAGUGGGGAAUAUUGCACAAUGGGCGGAAGCCUGAUGCAGCAACGCCGCGUGCGGGAUGACGGCCUUCGGGUUGUAAACCGCUUUCGCAUGUGACGAAGCGUGAGUGACGGUAAUGGGUAAAGAAGCACCGGCUAACUACGUG
rnacentral:rRNA from 1 species